UCAAGCGACUAAGUGUAUGUGGUGGAUGCCUUGGCGAUUACAGGCGAAGAAGGACGUCGCAGCCUGCGAAAAGCCGUGGGGAGCUGGCAAGCGAGCACUGAUCCACGGAUGUCCGAAUGAGGGAACUCACCCGCAAGGGUAUCUUGAAGUGAAUACAUAGCUUCAAGAGGCGAACGCAGCGAACUGAAACAUCUAAGUAGCUGCAGGAAAAGAAAUCAACCGAGAUUCUGAAAGUAGCGGCGAGCGAAAUUGGAAGAGCCUGCAAGUGAUAUUGAAUUCGAUACUGGAACGGUCUGGAAAGUCCGGCUACAGAGGGUGACAGCCCCGUACGGGAAAUUGGGUUCAAGGUACUGAGCUUGCGAGAAGUAGAGCGGGACACGUGAAAUCCUGCUCGAAGAUGGGGGGACCAUCCUCCAAGGCUAAAUACUCGUAAUCGACCGAUAGCGAACCAGUACUGUGAAGGAAAGGCGAAAAGAACCCCGGGAGGGGAGUGAAAUAGAUCCUGAAACCGCAUACAUACAAACAGUAGGAGCCCGCAAGGGUGACUGCGUACCUUUUGCAUAAUGGGUCAGCGACUUACGUUCAAUGGCAAGCUUAACCGAGUAGGGGAGGCGCAGCGAAAGCGAGUCCGAACAGGGCGAUAUGAGUCGUUGGGCGUAGACCCGAAACCAGAUGAUCUAUCCAUGGCCAGGCUGAAGGUGUGGUAACACACACUGGAGGGCCGAACCGACUAGUGUUGCAAAAUUAGCGGAUGAGCUGUGGAUAGGGGUGAAAGGCUAAACAAAUCUGGAGAUAGCUGGUUCUCCCCGAAAACUAUUGAGGUAGUGCCUCGUGUAUGGCUCCAGGGGGUAGAGCACUGUUAUGGCUAGGGGGACAUGGCGUCUUACCAAACCAUGGCAAACUCCGAAUACUUGGAAGUCUGAGCACGGGAGACAGAGCACCGGGUGCUAACGUCCGGACUCAAAAGGGAAACAACCCAGACCGCCGGCUAAGGUCCCUAAUAUUGACUAAGUGGAAAACGAAGUGGGAAGGCUAAGACAGUCAGGAAGUUGGCUUAGAAGCAGCCAUCCUUCAAAGAAAGCGUAAUAGCUCACUGAUCGAGUCUUCCUGCGCGGAAGAUGUAACGGGGCUAAGUCAAUAACCGAAGCCGCGGAUUCGCAGCAAUGCGAGUGGUAGGGGAGCGUUCUGUAAGCCUGCGAAGGCGGAUCUGCGAGGACCGCUGGAGGUAUCAGAAGUGCGAAUGCUGACAUGAGUAACGUUAAAGCGGGUGAAAAGCCCGCUCGCCGCAAGCCCAAGGUUUCCUGCUCUACGUUCAUCGGAGCAGGGUGAGUCGGCCCCUAAGGUCAGGCUGAGAAGCGUAGCUGAUGGGAAGCUGGUUAAUAUUCCAGCACCGAUUUCAAGUGCGAAGGGGGGACGGAGUCCUGAAGGUCAUCCGGGUGUUGGACAUCCCGGUUUACGAGCGUAGGAGGUUGACAGGCAAAUCCGUCAACGAAUCUCCAAGGCGAAGGAUCGAGGUUGAGAGAUCAACUGAAGUGACUGAAUGGGCUUCCAGGAAAAGCCUCUAAGCAUCAGCUUGGAAUUGACCGUACCGCAAACCGACACUGGUGGGCGAGCUGAAUAUGCUCAGGCGCUUGAGAGAACUCAGGAGAAGGAACUCGGCAAAUUGACACCGUAACUUCGGGAUAAGGUGUGCCUUUGUAGUGUGAAGAGAGAAACACUCCGAGCAUGAAGAGGCCUCAGAGAAUCGGUGGCUGCAACUGUUUACUAAAAACACAGCACUCUGCAAAGAUGAAAGUCGACGUAUAGGGUGUGAUGCCUGCCCGGUGCUGGAAGAUUAAUUGAUGGGGUGCAAGCUCCUGAUCGAAGUCCCAGUAAACGGCGGCCGUAACUAUAACGGUCCUAAGGUAGCGAAAUUCCUUGUC
rnacentral:rRNA from 2 species